rnacentral:rRNA from 1 species
GACAGAGGGGGCAAGCGUUGUCCGGACUUACUGGGCGUACAGCGUGCGCAGGUGGUUGGGUAUGUGCCGUGUGACAUCCAGAGGCUCAACCUUUGGCGGCCACGGUAGACAGCGCAACUGGAGGCAUAGAGAGGGAUGUGGAAUGCCCGGUGGAGCGGUGAAAUGCGUAGAGAUCGGGCGGAACACCAGCGGCGAAGGCGGCAUCCUGGCUAUGGUCCUGACACUGAGGCGCGACAGCGUGGGGAGCAAACGGG